rnacentral:rRNA from 1 species
AGUAAAUAGAUACCCGGGUAGUCCCAGCCGUAAACGAUGCUCGCUAGGUGUCAGGCAUGGCGCGACCGUGUCUGGUGCCGCAGGGAAGCCGUGAAGCGAGCCACCUGGGAGGUACGGCCGCAAGGCUGAAACUUAAAGGAAUUGGCGGGGGAGCACAACAACGGGUGGAGCCUGCGGUUUAAUUGGACUCAACGCCGGACAACUCACCGGGGGCGACAGCAAUAUGUAGGCCAAGCUGAAGACUUUGCCUGAAUCGCUGAGAGGAGGUGCAUGGCCGUCGCCAGUUCGUACUGUGAAGCAUCCUGUUAAGUCAGGCAACGAGCGAGACCCGUGCCCACUGUUACCAGCAUAUUCUCCGGAAUGAUGGGUACUCUGUGGGGACCGCCUAUGUUAAAUAGGAGGAAGGUGCGGGCCACGGUAGGUCAGUAUGCCCCGAAUCUCCCGGGCUACACGCGGGCUACAAUGGAUGGGACAAUGGGUCCCUACCCCGAAAGGGCUGGUAAUCUCACAAACCCAUUCGUAGUUCGGAUCGAGGGCUGUAACUC